UCUUGCCCUAUCCAUUUCUUGCAACACUUUCUUUCUGUAGAUUUAUUUUACUCGGAUCUCCAUGAAGGUUCUCUCGCCGGUUCUUGCUUUCGUAGCACUUGCUGUGGUGGCAAGCCAUGCUGCUCUCUCACCUGAGCAAAUUGGAACGAUAAGCUGCCAAAUACUGAAAUG